UGGCGGCGUGCUUAACACAUGCAAGUCGAACGAAGCACUUUAUUUGAUUUCCUUCGGGACUGAUUAUUUUGUGACUGAGUGGCGGACGGGUGAGUAACGCGUGGGUAACCUGCCUUGUACAGGGGGAUAACAGUUGGAAACGGCUGCUAAUACAGCAUAAGCGCACGGUAUCGCAUGAUGCAGUGUGAAAAACUCCGGUGGUAUAAGAUGGACCCGCGUUGGAUUAGCUAGUUGGUGAGGUAACGGCCCACCAAGGCGACGAUCCAUAGCCGACCUGAGAGGGUGACCGGCCACAUUGGGACUGAGACACGGCCCAAACUCCUACGGGAGGCAGCAGUGGGGAAUAUUGCACAAUGGGCGAAAGCCUGAUGCAGCGACGCCGCGUGAGCGAAGAAGUAUUUCGGUAUGUAAAGCUCUAUCAGCAGGGAAGAUAAUGACGGUACCUGACUAAGAAGCACCGGCUAAAUACGUGCCAGCAGCCGCGGUAAUACGUAUGGUGCAAGCGUUAUCCGGAUUUACUGGGUGUAAAGGGAGCGCAGGCGGUGCGGCAAGUCUGAUGUGAAAGCCCGGGGCUCAACCCCGGUACUGCAUUGGAAACUGUCGUACUAGAGUGUCGGAGGGGUAAGCGGAAUUCCUAGUGUAGCGGUGAAAUGCGUAGAUAUUAGGAGGAACACCAGUGGCGAAGGCGGCUUACUGGACGAUAACUGACGCUGAGGCUCGAAAGCGUGGGGAGCAAACAGGAUUAGAUACCCUGGUAGUCCACGCCGUAAACG
rnacentral:rRNA from 1 species